rnacentral:tRNA from 1 species
ACGGUUGUAGCUCAAUAGGAUAGAGCUGCGUGAUUCCUAAUCCGUCUAUACCAGUUCAAAUCUGGUCAGCCGUUCCA